rnacentral:rRNA from 1 species
CAGCAGCCACGGUAAUACGAAGGGUGCAAGCGUUACUCGGAAUUACUGGGCGUAAAGCGUGCGCAGGCGGUUGUGUAAGACAGGUGUGAAAUCCCCGGGCUUAACCUGGGAACUGCGCUUGUGACUGCGCAGCUAGAGUAUGGCAGAGGGGGGUGGAAUUCCACGUGUAGCAGUGAAAUGCGUAGAGAUGUGGAGGAACACCGAUGGCGAAGGCAGCCCCCUGGGCCAAUACUGACGCUCAUGCACGAAAGCGUGGGGAGCAAACAGGAUUAGAUACCCCCGUAGUCCCUGUCUCUUAUAC